rnacentral:lncRNA from 1 species
GGGGGCUGGGCUAGGAUGAAAAAUUUUGUCCUGCAUUUUUUUUUUAGCUGUAAUCUCUGUCCUGCCUUUUUAUUUUUCACUCUGUUCGGUCCUGCCUUUUUCUUUUAGUUUAUCCCGACUUUUUUUUUACCUAAAUUGUCGUCCUGACUUUUUUUUGCAAGUGUCUCAUCCUGCCUUUUUUUUUACUCAAAACUCCUGUCCUGCCUAUUUUUUCAAAUUUCAUCCUAGCUCCCCCCAUAAAAAUCAAAUGGUAGCUC